ACUUGGCCUUAUCAAAGCCACAGCUGAUUCUAGACAGGUCCUGCAGUUAAAAAAAAAAGAGGCCUGGUGUAAAGCAUUUCCUGGACAAUUAUGAUUUUGUUUGCUAUGACUGACCUAUAUUUUUAGAAGAGACAGUG